UGCGGAGCAUGCCAAUUAUCUCACUGAUAACACCGAAAUCGUUUUGAAUAUUCAACGGUCAUCGAAGCACUCACGUUGCCAAGCUCACUUUUUCACCGAAAUUUCUCUCUCUCAUAUCUUCUUUGUUCGUCGGCGGAUUUCGCUCAGACUCUCAGGAAUGAUGUAAAAUGGUCAUAUCGAACUAUAUAUGAAAAAUUGUAUUAAGUGAUGAUCUAUUUAUCAUUUCAUCAAACAUUUCAUGUUCAGUCGUCUCCGAAAACUACCCUCAGAUUAUUAUCAGACACAUCUGGCAAUAUGGCUAUUUAUUCAUGAAACUUAAUAUGCAUAUUCAUGAGACCUUUACGGUGCUGGUGACGAAAUUUUCGCUGUGACCAUCACUUAUUUUCGGAGAUACAAUGGAAAAUGAAUGGGGUGUUUUUCAGAAAUCGAGAAGCAGCAAACUUACGAGAAAAUCGACGUCACCGCUCGAUCAAAGACUCGCGCAUGCGCAUUGACACGAAAUUACGUAAACCUAGCAGACAGCUGAUCGUGAGCACACAUAGCUGCAUUACUAUCCUGGCUGUGUAUUAAAAUCUGUGCUAUUGAUUCUCAACAUUUCAAACACCACUGUACAAUACUCAUCUGAUUCCACUCAAAACAGAUAUACCAGUGACAAUUGAUGAGACCUAAAUAGUAGUAAAAUAUAAUAUAUUUUUUAACUUAAUGAUGUUAAAAAGAAAAAUUAAAAAAUUUAAACCGUGAGUCUACUGUCAAACUUGCCGAUCAACCGCAUCGUAUUUAUUGUGUACGUUCGUUUGUAAUUUGUGUAUAGACUAUUCAUGUGUGCGAUUGCUGCCUCUAGCACGUAGUGCUGCGCUAGAGGUCUACACGCAUUAGCAUUGAUUGCAUGCAGUGAUCGAGAGGUAUUGUUUUGAUUUCAGCCGAGCCGAGUGGAUCUUUGACUUUGUAAAACCCUCUAAAGAAACAAAGAAUAUGUAGGCAGGGCCAUGAAACCUUCAUGUAGCCUUACCUUCAAGUAACCUCCAGCUCCCCUUCUCAACUUCAUGACUUGGCAGAUGUCCUAAUGCAUGAUACACAUUGGUCGAGCAUUGAAGAACGGCCGACACUGCUGGCGGCUGCUGCCGAGCCUGGCCAGGCUGACGUGAUGUGACCUCGUACUUAGUGUUGAAGCUGUCUGGUCGUUCCCUCAGAGUGAUCACAGAUUCUACAUCCCACCAUGGCUCUGUGGAGUGUUCACCAACCCUAGUGCCCAAGCAGAUUUGUCUUCAUGCAACUAGAAUGGCGCUCCCUUAUAGAUGUCAGCAUUGGCUACCAGUGUUCUUCAGUUUGGAUGGUGAUUUCAUAGUGAAGGAGUCAGGAAGCCCGAAAGUAGUGUAAAACUAGCACUCUGGUUACAAUAUGGUACACACGAUAGGGUUAACUUGUACUUAGUACAUUAAUUCCUGGUGUUCCAGAGAAUAGUGCUUUCAAUGCUUACACAAUUUAAAGUAUUUGUUUUAGAAGUUGUGAAUAAGUGAAAAGUUCAGAUAAUUGGCAAUAGACCUGUUUCCUUACAUAUUCAAAUUUAUAUGCAUACUUUUUUAAUUACAUUUGAUGUUGCAUAGUACAACAUUACAUGUAUCAUUGCAACAUUACCUGCAUAUUUUGUGCCUAUUUUCGACUUGGUUAGUCCAUGUCAUACGUGCAUCUUCAUCAUUAUUAUGCAAGUUAUGAACUCCAUGUAGAUUUUCACAUUUCACUUGUUUCCAAUAAUGUUCAUUCAUGUACACAUUUGAACAAUUGCGUGUUAUUGGUGCAUGAUUGAACCAAAGAUGACAGUAAACGUAAAGUAAUGGCUUUCAAAACAGAUUGUUUUAUUAUUUAUACAAAGCUUUAUAUUUAUUGAAGAAGUAUUAGAUGUACAAUGAAAAGUAUGUGAGACAUGGAUAUAAGUAUUUAUUUGAGUCUUUCGUUUUUGUAUACAUGUUAAGUUAAGUAUACAAGUACAUUUAACACACAAAUAUACAGUGUUAUUGCAUUGAAGAAAAAAAAAAAAGCAUUCCUGUUUUGUAUGCAAGUUACAUAAUGGAAGUAUCUUGCCUAUUGUAUCUGAAGUGAAGUGGCAAUUAUAAUAUGCAGAUUGAGAAUUGUUUAUAAAAUGAAA
rnacentral:lncRNA from 1 species